rnacentral:rRNA from 1 species
GACAGAGGAUGCAAGCGUUAUCCGGAUUGAUUGGGCGUAAAGCGUCCGUAGGUGGCCUUCUAAGUCUUCUGUUAAAGGCUAAAGCUCAACUUUAGUUCGGCAGGAGAAACUCGAAAGCUUGAGUGCGGUAGGAGCAGUGGGAAUUCCCGGUGUAGCGGUGAAAUGCGUAGAGCUCGGGAAGAACACCAGAGGCGAAGGCGCGCUGCUGGGCCGUUACUGACACUAAAGGACGAAAGCUAGGGGAGCGAAUGGG